rnacentral:rRNA from 1 species
UAAAAUAAUCUAAGUGAUAAUACCCGAAAGCAUAAGAUCUAAGAAUAGUAUUAAGUUUUAGAUUAAAAUUAAGGUGCUGUGGCAUCAGCUCACAAUAAAUAAUAUCUUAGUGGUGAAAUGCCUACAAUUAUGCUGAUAGCUGGAUAAUUAUUAAAUAUAUCUAGUUUAUACUAAAUUUAUGAGGUGAUAAGAUUUCAUAAUAAGAAUUAAAUGUAUGUUUUAAGUCUACUAUUAAUUAACCCUUAACAGUAUUUUACUGUAAGUAAAAUAGUUUUACGUAUUAAAUAUUCUUUAGUAAUAAUUUAUUUAUCUAAACUAAUAGUAAGCUUAAUAAUGUAUAAAUUAGUAUAUUAUUAUAAAUUUAAGUAAAUAAACUCGGCAAAUAUUAUAUACGACUGUUUAACAAAAACAUAGCCGGUAGAUUAUUAUAUUAUCGGUGUAGCCUGCCCGGUGAGUUUUUAACGGCCGCAGUACUAUGACUGUGCAAAGGUAGCAUAAUCAUUUGACUUUUAAUUGGAGUCUGGUAUGAAAGGAAAAACGUAUAUAAGCUGUAUCUAGAUAUAAAUUUAUUAAAUUUACUUAUGGGGUGAAAAUACCCUAAUAAAAAAAAUAGACGAGAAGACCCUUAGAAUUUUAAGAAAAACCAUAAUCAAUAUGGAAUGAUUUUUGUUGGGGCAACAUUUUUUCAUAUAAAUAAAAAAAUCAAUAUUACAAUAUAACGAAAAAGUAUAAUAAAGAAAAAAUUACCUUAGGGAUAACAGCAUAAUUUUAAAUAAAGAUUGUGACCUCGAUGUUGGACUAGGAACUAUUAAGGCUAGUCGUUUUUAAUACAAUAAGGUUCUGGUUCGAACUUUUGCUUCCUA